CAUUAGCAUAACAUGCCAAUGUCCUUUUUAGUUAUUUGGGUUUUGUUUUUGUUUUUACCUGAUUCAUCAACAACCAAUCAGGGGAAACAGUAAAAUGAAUAAGAAAAAAAUAUCAAAGUUUGUAAAGUAUAUGUUUUUUUCCCCAUAAAACUGAAGAAUUGAUUCCUUUUUCUCACUAGUUUUCUAAUAAUAUUUUGCUUGGCAGUUUUAAUUUUCUAAACCAGGCCAUCCCUGUGUCUGGACUUUAUUUUAUGUGUAUUAAUGCACCACAGUUCAGCAACAUUAGGACUAGUGCCAGGGUGGAAUGGGGAUGCAGAGCCAAGCAUUCACCUUCUUGUGCAGUCUUGAGGAGUGUGUGCACGUUCUAGUUACUGCAGGGAGAUCACAACUGAUCAAUACUGACUCAGGUUUUAUAUUACAGCAAAUAUAUUUGGACCUAUUUGGUUGUGGUAUUUAAUUGACAUUUACAGCUAUGUUUAUUCUCCUAUAAUGUUUAUUAUUUUAAAACUUUGCAGCUCAAUAAAGAGCUACCAAUCUCUUAUAGUUUUCAUUUGAUGAUUAAUUACUUAAAAAAUGAAACAAACGGACUUGUAGCCCUGUUCCAAUUUUUACUAUCCAUUAAAAAAAAGGUAACUUAUUUCAGAACGAGUGCCCAAAAGAAUCAAAGACAAAGGGACACAUCUCAUUACUGAACACAUAGCAAUUUCUUUACCUUUUCAAAAAGGUUGCUUGCUAUCAUUUAAGAAUGUACAUUUUCAUAGAAUGGAGUUGGUUAGUUUUGUUGUUUGCUUUUGUUUCUUUGCCACAUAAGUUGUAACUAUACCCAGGUAACUCAAUUACCUGAUAAUUUAAAAAGAAAAAUGGGGUUGAUAAGAAUUAAAGAAAGUCAUUCAAUCUCUUAAACUAAAUUUGAAGAAAACAUGGAGAUCUGUUUCUUUUUCAUCUUGUUCUUCUAGCAGCUCCCUUUGCUCUGUGAUACUCUAAUUGAUCUUGACCUUUAUAAUCUGUAGGCUAAAAUGCACUGCUGUCAAGGAGAAAUGAGUCAAAAGACCUGGAAGUAUAUAAUAAAGUAGGCAUCUACAUAUUUAAAUGAGAGGUAAGCAAAGAUCUUUAGCCUAUGGAAAUAAAGAUAUUAAGAUAUAUAAAAACACUCCUUUGUAUUUUAACUUUAGUGGACAGAAAAAAAUUCCAUGACACAGCAUUUAAUAGUUACUCAGUGACAUGGCUCAGGAUAUGAUUCAUCUGAACCUGCUGUAAGGAUCUAUUAUUUAAAAGAAAAUGAUGAGUUUAUGUUUUUCAUAGGAAACAGGGAUAACUAAAAAAAAUGCUGUUUCCAAUAUGUUAUUCAGUGUUACCCUUUUAGGUAAGAAUUUUCUCUCAUUAAGAUACUUCUGUAUUUAUUCAGUAUUCUGUUGAUUAAAAUAAAUUGUAAUUGAAUAAAAGAUGUAUUGAUCAUUAAUUACUUGUCAUCUGUCAUUAAUAGUAAACCAAAAAGAUGUGUAUUUGAACAGUGGCAUUUAACAUUUGGCUAAAGUAUAUUCUCUUCAAAGUAAAUGCUCAUUUUUACCAUGUUCAUUAUGAAACAAGAAACCAAAAUUUGAUUUGGUAGCCUGACAACAUCAGGCUACAGAGACUCAGAGUAAGGGCUGAGGUGGGAUUUAAUGAUUUAUUUAAUUCAAACACUUUGAAUAGUACAAACAGUGAUUGAAAAAUAAAUAGAUGUUUAAGAAAGAAAAAAGAGGCUUCUCAUGCCUGAGAUGAUUUGAAUAUACUCCUGCCAGGAAUAAUUGAUUAAAUCAAUUCUGUUUUUACCUAUACUAACACCAGAAAGGGUUUGUUAUUUAUAGAUACAUUUUAUUUGGAAAUAUUUCAAUCUCAAACCCAAAAUAAUUUCUUCUAUAAACUCACCUAGACCAUAAGAACCCUCCUCAAAGAUUUGAACUAUGCCUGACCUUAUUACCAGAGUGUAAAAAUAGGUCAUUUCUUCUGAAAUUUUGCUGAGUUGCACCUGCUGUGCACAGAGUUUAUUUACUGUACAAGAUGGUGAGUUUUACUCAAUUUCAUGUGUUUUUGUUCCCUCAAAAACAAAUUAUUGAAUAUUAGUGUAUAUCAUUUUGAAUCCAAAAUUGUCCUGUAAGCCUCAAGAUUGGAAGGUUAAAACAUUAGGUAUCUUUGUCACCUUUCUAAAUUGUUUUGUAUUCACCCCAUCUGAAUAACAUUAUAGAGACUGUUAUUUGGCUAUGAUUUUGCUUUAACAUAAAGUUGUGGACUCCAAAAUAACUAUGAUCUCUAAGAUCAUGUACAAACUGGUCAAAUAAUCAUUCUCUAUUGCAGACUGCAUAUUUUAUCCUAAUUAUAUUUAUGUAGAUCAUCUUAAUGGGUUCAUUAUAAUUUCUAUUGUUUUCUUUUAAAAUAUUCUUUAAGCUUUCCAUUUAAAGAACACAGUAGUCUCCAGUGUGAAGAGCUUCACAAACUCUAUUACUGAAUAAAUAAAAAGCAGGUAGAACAACUCUAAUAUAUAAAAUAUUUUCAUUUAUACCUUGUUUGAUAAACAAAAAGUCCAACACCCAAGUUGGUAUCAUUGGCAUAAGCUUAUUAUCAAUGUCUCCAACUAAGAGCAGUGAUUGACUUUAUCUGCAAAUGCAGAGAAAUUACAGACUGCAAUUAAGUGAAACCAUAAUUUCAGAAUGAAGAAUAAAGAAGUCAAAAUAGAAAGGAACUGCCUCAUGUUGUACUUGGGAUGACUCCACUCAUCCCUCUUCCCCCAAAAUGGAUAUUUAUCAAUUAUUCUAUACUGGCAGGAACUACUACAAUUCAUUUCACACAUCAAAUAAUUUAGAUCCAACAUAUCUGAUCUUUCUUUAUAUUCUUCAGUCAUUGUUCAUAAGUGACUUUUUAACUGAAGUUUGUGGUUUAAUACUUAGCCAUUGUUCAAAUCAGUAUCUUUGACUUCCAUAGUAUAGAACAAAAAUUUUAAAAUCUUUUGAAAUUCAUGUUUCUGGCUUUUGUACCUGGUAACCAGCCAUUUGUGAAACUUGACAGCAUAUAAUUGUAUAACUUAGAACAAAUGUUUUUGCAACCACCUUUAAAAGAUGUUACACACUGCAGUAUUUUUACAAUGUCUUCUUUGGAAUGUGUGAACAUAUUUGUCAGGUUCAGAUGAAUUACGUAACAAUGAAACCUCAAAGCUGUUAUGAAGUAUAGUUUGUGAUUUUUUUGUAACAGAAAAUGGAAAAGCAC
rnacentral:lncRNA from 1 species